GAUGAACGCUGGCGGCGUGCCUAAUACAUGCAAGUCGAGCGAACAGAUGAGGAGCUUGCUCCUCUGACGUUAGCGGCGGACGGGUGAGUAACACGUGGAUAACCUACCUAUAAGACUGGGAUAACUUCGGGAAACCGGAGCUAAUACCGGAUAAUAUAUUGAACCGCAUGGUUCAAUAGUGAAAGACGGUUUUGCUGUCACUUAUAGAUGGAUCCGCGCCGCAUUAGCUAGUUGGUAAGGUAACGGCUUACCAAGGCAACGAUGCGUAGCCGAUCUGAGAGGGUGAUCGGCCACACUGGAACUGAGACACGGUCCAGACUCCUACGGGAGGCAGCAGUAGGGAAUCUUCCGCAAUGGGCGAAAGCCUGACGGAGCAACGCCGCGUGAGUGAUGAAGGUCUUCGGAUCGUAAAACUCUGUUAUUAGGGAAGAACAAAUGUGUAAGUAACUAUGCACGUCUUGACGGUACCUAAUCAGAAAGCCACGGCUAACUACGUG
rnacentral:rRNA from 1 species